CUUGCACAAUACAGAAUGAAGUAGAAGACAAACCUGGAUCUGGAAGAGUUGUUAUAUAACCUGCAUUCUGGAUGAUGUGAGGGAUUAGCCAAUGAAAUAGCCUGUUACGGAGAGUUUUUGGUGUGAGGUGCACGGAACUGUGGGUAACCCACCAGAAUGAUCAAUGCUGAUUGGUUAAUCAGAUGUCUGACAUCAUAGGGUCAAAAGCCGCUUGUAUGACCUUUGAUGCGACCUUACACUACGACCAGUCAGAUCUUCAUGUAGCAGAGGCCAUCAAAAGUAUAAAAGAAAAGAAAAUUGGGAUAAAGGCUGUCUACUUCCAUUAUUCUCUGUAGAAAUGACACUAACCACAUGUAGUUGCCAUAAACCCUUUAAUCUUAUCAUAAUAAGGAUGAUCCUUUUUGUAAUAUUAGCAUAUUUGAUUUGUUGGGGUUUUUUUUGUCCCUGCCUUGAAAACCUUGUAGAUGCCUUGAAACUUUUUUAUAAAUCUGCAUAAAUUUGA